rnacentral:tRNA from 9 species
GGAGAUGUGGCCGAGUGGUCGAAGGCGCUCCCCUGCUAAGGGAGUAGGCGGGAAACCGUCUCGAGGGUUCGAAUCCCUUCGUCUCCGCCA